rnacentral:lncRNA from 1 species
AAAAGAACUAAAUUACAGAAAUCGCUAAAAUUUUACAACAAUUUAUUUAAGUACAGCUUAUUUGAAAGUAACAAUAACAAAAAAUAUAGGUCACCGAUGAGUUCAAAAAGAUAUUUCAAUUUUAAUGCCAAAAAAUGACAUUUUUGCACCAAAGGGAGAUAAUUUGGAGCUUUUUCAAUGAUACAUACAUUUUAAAAGUCAUCUGGGGCCUAAUCGAAUUGAUUUAUUUGAAUGAUUUUUG